UUGUCCUUUGGACAAUGGUAGGAGAGCGUUCUAAGGGCGUUGAAGCAUGAUCGUAAGGACAUGUGGAGCGCUUAGAAGUGAGAAUGCCGGUGUGAGUAGCGAAAGACGGGUGAGAAUCCCGUCCACCGAUUGACUAAGGUUUCCAGAGGAAGGCUCGUCCGCUCUGGGUUAGUCGGGUCCUAAGCUGAGGCCGACAGGCGUAGGCGAUGGAUAACAGGUUGAUAUUCCUGUACCACCUAUAAUCGUUUUAAUCGAUGGGGGGACGCAGUAGGAUAGGCGAAGCGUGCGAUUGGAUUGCACGUCUAAGCAGUAAGGCUGAGUAUUAGGCAAAUCCGGUACUCGUUAAGGCUGAGCUGUGAUGGGGAGAAGACAUUGUGUCUUCGAGUCGUUGAUUUCACACUGCCGAGAAAAGCCUCUAGAUAGAAAAUAGGUGCCCGUACCGCAAACCGACACAGGUAGUCAAGAUGAGAAUUCUAAGGUGAGCGAGCGAACUCUCGUUAAGGAACUCGGCAAAAUGACCCCGUAACUUCGGGAGAAGGGGUGCUCUUUAGGGUUAACGCCCAGAAGAGCCGCAGUGAAUAGGCCCAAGCGACUGUUUAUCAAAAACACAGGUCUCUGCUAAACCGUAAGGUGAUGUAUAGGGGCUGACGCCUGCCCGGUGCUGGAAGGUUAAGAGGAGUGGUUAGCUUCUGCGAAGCUACGAAUCGAAGCCCCAGUAAACGGCGGCCGUAACUAUAACGGUCCUAAGGUAGCGAAAUUCCUUGUCGGGUAAGUUCCGACCCGCACGAAAGGCGUAACGAUUUGGGCACUGUCUCAACGAGAGACUCGGUGAAAUCAUAGUACCUGUGAAGAUGCAGGUUACCCGCGACAGGACGGAAAGACCCCGUGGAGCUUUACUGUAGCCUGAUAUUGAAAUUCGGCACAGCUUGUACAGGAUAGGUAGGAGCCUUUGAAACGUGAGCGCUAGCUUACGUGGAGGCGCUGGUGGGAUACUACCCUAGCUGUGUUGGCUUUCUAACCCGCACCACUUAUCGUGGUGGGAGACAGUGUCAGGCGGGCAGUUUGACUGGGGCGGGCGCCUCCUAAAAGGGAACGGAGGCGCUCAAAGGUUCCCUCAGAAUGGUUGGAAAUCAUUCAUAGAGUGUAAAGGCAUAAGGGAGCUUGACUGCGAGACCUACAAGUCGAGCAGGGUCGAAAGACGGACUUAGUGAUCCGGUGGUUCCGCAUGGAAGGGCCAUCGCUCAACGGAUAAAAGCUACCCCGGGGAUAACAGGCUUAUCUCCCCCAAGAGUUCACAUCGACGGGGAGGUUUGGCACCUCGAUGUCGGCUCAUCGCAUCCUGGGGCUGUAGUCGGUCCCAAGGGUUGGGCUGUUCGCCCAUUAAAGCGGUACGCGAGCUGGGUUCAGAACGUCGUGAGACAGUUCGGUCCCUAUCCGUCGUGGGCGUAGGAAAUUUGAGAGGAGCUGUCCUUAGUACGAGAGGACCGGGAUGGACAUACCUCUGGUGUACCAGUUGUCGUGCCAACGGCAUAGCUGGGUAGCUAUGUGUGGACGGGAUAAGUGCUGAAAGCAUCUAAGCAUGAAGCCCCCCUCAAGAUGAGAUUUCCCAACUUCGGUUAUAAGAUCCCUCAAAGAUGAUGAGGUUAAUAGGUUCGAGGUGGAAGCAUGGUGACAUGUGGAGCUGACGAAUACUAAUCGAUCGAAGACUUAAUCAA
rnacentral:rRNA from 1 species